CUUUCCCUCUUUCUCUAGGCCUAACACAUGCAAGUCGAACGGCAGCACAGUAAGAGCUUGCUCUUACGGGUGGCGAGUGGCGGACGGGUGAGGAAUACAUCGGCAUCUACUUUUUCGUGGGGGAUAACGUAGGGAAACUUACGCUAAUACCGCAUAAGACCUACGGGUGAAAGCAGGGGAUCUUCGGACCUUGCGCGAUUGAAUGAGCCGAUGUCGGAUUAGCUAGUUGGCGGGGUAAAGGCCCACCAAGGCGACGAUCCGUAGCUGGUCUGAGAGGAUGAUCAGCCACACUGGAACUGAGACACGGUCCAGACUCCUACGGGAGGCAGCAGUGGGGAAUAUUGGACAAUGGGCGCAAGCCUGAUCCAGCCAUACCGCGUGGGUGAAGAAGGCCUUCGGGUUGUAAAGCCCUUUUGUUGGGAAAGAAAAGCAGCAGGUUAAUACCCCGCUGUUCUGACGGUACCCAAAGAAUAAGCACCGGCUAACUUCGUG
rnacentral:rRNA from 1 species